AGAAGAAGAAGCAGCAGCACUAGCGCCAAAUAAACGGACCAAUAAACUACGGUACAAAGCCAGUAGGGACCGCUGGAGCUGAAGGAUCAGGGUGGACAGGUGUGUCGCAUCUUGUCAUCAGCUGGAGGACUACAAGAGGGUGGCAAGCCAGCACUUUGACGCCUGAGUGUUUUGCCUCUUUGUGGUUGCCCAAGUCCCGCUCCAAGUAAAAGAACCUCUGAAGAACUCAUCUGACAAUAACUUGGAUCCUGAUCGUUUCUUCCUUGCAGCCGCUGGCCCUGGUGGUUCCUCCGCAGCUUCCAAGCGAACCCUGUCCACCCUCCUCC